GUGCUUACUUUGGCAGCACAUAUACUAAAAUUGGAAUGAUACAGAGAUUAGCAUGGCCCCUGCGGAAGGAUGACAUGCAAAUUCAUGAAGAGUUCCAUAUUUUA
rnacentral:snRNA from 1 species